CUUGAAGAAUAUUCAAUGUCCUCCAAAGUAUAUCCAUACAGAAGAAACACUUAUCAGUACCACUGUUGAUAAAAAAACACAAAUGCUUAAGCUUCAGAAGACAAGAGGCAAAGGUCAAGAGUUCCAGUCUCGAGUCGAUUGAGUCUUAAGGAUCUAUCAUGGUGUACCAAUCCACUGUGCACUCAGUGAUGGGAUGGAUUUCAAAGUUAUCCUGUGUUAUUGCUCUGUCAAGCUUAGGAUCUACAGUUGAGUGCAGGAGCUGGGUGACUGUGACUUAUAACCAUUAUAUAUGCACUAAAAUGAGAUCUGAUCUACAAACAUUGCAUGUAUUAUUUGCCCAUCAUUAUUUAUUAAUAUUUUAUAUUGUCUUAAGUCAAGUAGACAAUAUUAAAAAAUAUACAUUAUCUAGAAUCAAGAUUAUUUUUAUUAGAUCUAGGAUACAAGAAUUCUGGAUAAGUAUAAAUUCUAGCCUUGGUAAUUAUUCUUAUAGAUCUAUCUAGAUCUAGAUCUUUUAAUUUAUACUAGAAUCUAGAUCUACGUCAUUAACCUAUCCUAUAUUAUAGGCUAAGAUUUUUUUUCAUUGAUUACAAAUACUUUUUGACUUGUUUUUAAUACAGCAGCCUUAGUAGGUGGUAGCCCUAGUUUUAUAUAUAUUAGUAUAGAUCAAGAAGAUCUAAUACAAGAAUAGUUGAAGUUGAAGAAUACUAUGUAAUACAGUGGCACUGUGACUGACUGUGACUGACAUAGGUGGAUAAUAAUCAUUGAUCUACACCUAAAAAAUAAUAGGCUACUGUGACCUAGCUAGAAACCAGAGAAUGAGGAUCCGAUGAGAGCUUUGAAUGUACGUUAUAUUUUUCAAAUUAAAUUUACCUAAUCUACUUAAUCUAGUCUACAUCUUUAAUCCUAUAGUUCUAAAUCUUAACAAGAUCUAGAUCUAUAUCUUUCAUGAAAUUAUAACAAUUGUAAAUUAUUUCACAGAUACACACAGUCACAGUGACACACCGCUGUGUGUGACAUUUCCGGGUUGUCUUAGUCAGUCUUAGUGUCUAGAAAUCUAGACUGUCAAUAAAGACGCACUGCGUAUCUAUUUUUUUUUAUUUGCUUCGAAAGGAUAACUCAAAUUGUUAACAUUACUUAAAACUAAUAUCUAAAUUAUUACCUUGUGCUCCGUGAAUCAUGAAUGCUAAGUAUACUAUUACAAUAUUUCGAAGGCCUGCUCCCAUGGUUUUGGGAGCCAUUUUGUUGUAACUUUUCCCCCCUUGAGUCCACUGUCUUGAAAGCGAGGCUUGUUUUCAGGUGUAUGACCUAUUUCUACCCUCAACAGGAAAUGUAUAACAAACUUCGAAUAAAGAGAGAUAUAUAGAGAGUCUAGGUCUUUAUAUAAAUGUCUAUAUUAUAGCUUUAUAUCCGCUCUCCUUAUAUAAAGUUCUCUAAUUUUUUUUUAAAAGUGUGUUUCAUUUUACAAAUAAAAAUAUAAAGGUCUAGAAAUGAUAGGAUCUAUUAUUCUAUUCUAAGUUUGAAACAUUUUCCCCCACUCGUUGACAAAUGUAUUUCUACUCCGUCAUCACAUGUAGUUCUAUACGUCAUCACAUGUAGUUCUAUACGUCAUCACAUGUAGUUCUAUACGUCAUCACAUGUAGUUCUAUACGUCAUCACAUGUAGUUCUAUACGUCAUCACAUGUAGUUCUGUAAAAUGUUUGUAAAAUGUUUUACAUGUUUCGGAUGUUCCUUCAGAGUUGAAGAUAAUUACUUCCUUGUCCAAACCUCCCGCAGGACGACGGGGGAUGGGAGCGGGCAGGGUUUAAACCCGGGACCAUCGAUAAAUCUGAACGACAGUCCAGCGUGCAAACCGCACGACCAGGCAGCCAUCCAGGAAAUGUAUAUACGUCAUCACAUGUAGUUCUAUACGUCAUCACAUGUAGUUCUAUACUUAAGUGUGAUUAGCAAUUUGGUGAGACGCAGAAGAAAAUGUUCUUACUCAUCAACUGGUCAUUAAGUCGAUAACACAGGCGGACUAGCUACACGGGCUCCCAAUCAAAUGCCCGGUGGCCGGUACCUACAUGGCCUAUAUGGGCUGAUGGGGAUGCAGGUGUAGUCACUUUGAAUGACAGUGAGCCCCGUUAACUUAAUUGGUCCUCGCCGUAACGUUUAUACAAGAUUCGUACAGACAUAACUGUGUACUAAUAUACUAGACCCAUAUUGCGUAGACCUAAUAAUAUGGAUUGGUUGGACACUCGCCAUACCAUGCUUCUGUGAGUUUCAAGCCUAUACGUACACUAAGAUAUUAACAAACAUUAUAAGACCAAAUUUUUUAUAGUUACAUUGGUGUUGACAUACUCGGGGGAAUAUAUAUUGGGACCCUGAACUUAUAGCCCAAAUUAGUAGUCAUUGUAUAAAAACAAACGGUCUGUAAUUCCACCGUAGACGAUAUUAAUUAUUUUUUUUACAUGGCGUGUGCAGCAUAUUAUUUAUUUGGGUCGGUUCGUCGCGAGAUCCUAGGAUUUCCUCGCUACAAAGACAUUCACAAACCAGUGGCGUUGCUAUUAUAGUCAUGUGCAGGUGGUGUGGGCCGCGCGGGGCAUCAACUGAUAAGAGGCAUCAAACUGAGCACAACAUUUCUUUUCUCAGCGAUAUACACCAGCUGUAAACUUUCUAGUAAAACGCGCGCUACACCGUUAGAGACGUUUUUGAGAUCCGUAUCCGCACCCACCCAAGUUUUUGAAGUUUCCAUGAAGUUACGAAAUAAAUAUAUAUUUAGUAGCCUAUAUAUAGGCCUGUGGUAUAGACUUAUUGUAAACAUAUAUAUAUAUAUAUAUAUAUAUGUGCAUUUUUUAAACUAAAGUAUGCCUAUAACUUUUUUAAAAAGAAGAACAAUGAUCCGAUAUUAAGUUUUUUUUUUCUUCUAAAAUAUAGGCACUUGGCAUGCUUUUAGUAUUACUAAUAAGCGGAUUUUUAUUAAAUCAAUUACAUAGUUGAGUAGGCUAUAUUUAACUUUAAAUAAAACAGCAUUAUAUCGUGUACCUACUGUCCUUGCUCCUUUUUUUUUAAGUAGCCUACUGGUAUGCUUGGCUAUGUUUUAUUAUCAUUGUUUAAAAGUGUGAGAAAUCUAUAUGAACAUACAAUAUCACCUGUUGUUUUUAUUGUUUGUUUUCAAUUCACUAAAGGUAUUCAUAUGGGAUUUUAAUAAGAGCUCGUUUUGUAUGUUUUGGAUUUUAAAGAUAAUUACCUCCUAGCCCAAACCACCUGCAGGUUGGCAGGGGAUGGGGGCAGGCAGGGUCCCUGGACCAUUGAUUGACAGUUCACAAGACAAGGCAGCCAGGAAUUAUGUGCUAAAUGACUUUUUGGUCAAUCCCUUUCUAACAGAAUGAUACAUAUCAAAUAUUAAAAUAUAGCCUAUUUUUAACUUGUCAAGAUAUUGUAAGUAGGGCACUUCUUUAGAUAUAGGCAUGGUCCAAAUACUCUUGCAUAUGUACAUUCUAGUAUAAGGAUGCAGUUUUAGUUGAGAAUCAUAAUGUAAUAUGUACUGUUGGCUUUGAAAUGUUUUUGGAUAAUGCUUUUAAUAAAACAAAGUUUGGCUCUGUUUUAAAAGACUUUUGUCUGACUCAAUAAAUGUAUCAGUUGCACUAUAUCAAAUAAGCCAAACAUCUAUUCAGAUUAGGGGUGCACCGGAUAGUACUUUUUGAUAUCCGGCCGGGGCCGGAUAUGACCGGAUAGUAAAAUUUGAUAUUCGGCCGGGGCCGGAGCCGGAUACCUAAGUGUCUUGUUAAUAGCUUGUGUUGCUGAACAUUUUACGAAACUGUUAAAUAACAUACCUAUAUUGGUUGGUUUUAUUUUUUUUUCCUUUUAUAUACCUUAUUGUUUUAAACUCUGUUACUGAUUGAUUUAUUCAAGCUUAACAGUAUUUCUAAAAAUCUGUAUAGCAUGAGUGUGUCUCUGUGUAUGUACGAUGCCACCAACUGUAAAGGAUGUGUGUAGGAAGGUCAAUGUAAAUAAUGUUAGUAUAUAUUUAACUAGUUACUAAUGUAUAUCUCAUAAGUAAAGUGCAAUCUGCCUUGUAUA